UUUAAUAAUAGCUGAGGUUAUUCACCAUCCCGGCUCGGGGGCAGCCGCUGGGGAGCUCGGACACCGCGCGGGCAGCGGAUGAGGCGCGGCGGCUGCGGCCCUGGGCAUCUCCCCCCGGUUUCCCGAAUCCUGCCCCAUCCGACCCGAGGGGGAGGAUGGAAACGCCAGCCACGCUCUGAGCCCUUCAGGAAGAUAACACCCUGCCCACCAUCUCCCCCAGCGGUCCUGCGGAGGCUGCCGGCUAGUCCCCUCCACGCCACCAUCCGAGCGGGGCCGAGCGGAAAAGCGAGCGAUGGCGGAAAUCCUGAAAAGACUGGUCUCGACCGAAUCUUUACGAUCGCUGCAGGAGAAGCUAGACUUCUGGCUGAAGGAGUAUAACACAAACUCAUGUGAUCAAAACCUAAAUCACUGCCUGGAACUCAUUGAACAAGUUGCCAAAGUGCAGGGACAACUGUUUGGGAUCCUCACUACAGCAGCCCAAGAAGGAGGACAUUAUGGUGGUGUGGAAAUAAUCAAAUCGCGCCUUUUGCCUUGGCUGGAGGCUUCCUUUACUGCUGCUUCCAUGGGAACACCUGUUGACAGCAAAGUCCCCUCUCUUCAGGACUCGUUUGAUAAGGAAAAACAGAAAGACACUGCUGCUCGGGACCUACAACAAUUAGACUCUGAGUUGAACUCAACCCGUAAGCAACUCAACCAGGUUCAAGACGAUCUGGCUGAAACUGAAAAGACUCUUGAAGAAACCAGGAAAAGAUCGGCCAUAUCCCUUUUGGCUGCAGAGGAGGAAAUAAAUCAGCUAAAAAAGCAGCUUAAAUCUCUUCAAGCCCAGGAAGAAGCCCGCCGCAGAAGCACAGACCACACCAGAUUAGAGCAGCGGAGCUCUGAGAAGCGGAGUGACGGAGCAGGAGUGGUGGCUGACUAUGAGAAACAGCUCCGAACGCUGAAGGACGAGAUAGCUGUUCUGUCUGCCGAAAAAUCUGUUCUCCAAGGAAGGUCCGCCAGGAGCCCGUCACCUAGCCCUGCCCCACGAAGCCGGUCUGCCAGCCCCUGCACCGCAAUUGCGAAGGUCAGGUCUCCAUCCCCCAAUCGCUCCAAACUGUCCAGCGUCGCGCGCAAGGCCGCCCUCCUGUCCAGGUUCAGCGACGCCUAUUCCCAGGCCCGUCUGGACGCGCAGUGCCUGCUGCGGCGCUGCAUCGACAAAGCCGAGACCGUGCAGCGAAUCAUCUACAUCGCCACAGUGGAGGCAUUCCAUGUAGCUAAAAUGGCAUUCAGACACUUCAAGAUCCGUGUGAGGAAAUCGUUGACACCAUCUUUCGCGGGGUCUGAUAACUUUGAGGAUACCGUCUCUGACUAUAUUGUUUGUCAUCUUGAUCUAUACGAUGCCCAAAGCAGUGUUAACGAUGUGAUCCGAGCCAUGAAUGUCAACCCCAAGAUUUCGUUCCCUCCCGAAGUUGAUUUUUGCCUCCUUAAUGACUUCAUUCAGGAGAUAUGUUGCAUUGCCUUUGCUAUGCAGACCUUAGAACCACCCCUAGAUAUUGCAUUUGGGGCUGAUGGAGAAAUUUUUAAUGAUUCCAAGUACCGCCGCAGCUAUGACUCCGACUUCACUGCUCCUUUGGUCUUCUAUCACGUGUGGCCUGCUCUCAUGGAGAACGACUGCGUCAUUAUGAAAGGCGAAGCUGUCACCAAGAGAGGGGCUUUUGUACGGUGGCCUUGCAUAGUGAAAAUUCAUCCCAAGUGUUUGAUUCACAAUGGAAUUCGGUGCGACCUGUAAGUCGAUGUCGAAGCAGAAGUUUAAGUCCUGUUUGCCCUCGUAGUCGUGUUGGUGUAAGCAUGAUGUCUCGAAGUCGCAGCCCUUCUCCGAUAAGAUGUGGACUGCCAAGGUUUUAAAACAACCAGACAUGUUCCUUUGCCACAGAACAUCUGCAACAGCCAACUUUCCUAGUGCCUCCAUCUGCCUGCUCUGUCUGUGCCUCAGACCUCACUUAAGAUAAUGUGAAAAGGCAAUUCUGUGUUUUUCUCUCCACCCAGAGACUUAAAUGUUUUGGCUUAGCACAUUUGUAACUUCAGCCAUAGUGCAUUGUAUUUUAUUUUAUAGAUACAAAUUCCAUUAAUUUGAUAAAAACUAUUGCAUAGGUGUUUAGGAUCAUAUUUGUUUGAAGCUAAGUCCAUUACACAGGUUCAGGAUUUCCAUCCUGAAAUACUAGGCUGUUAUAAAGCAAACCUUACAAACAAAAGUGGAAAAUCUUUACCAUGCUGGAUCCAAAAGAUAAGAGUAGUCGUUUUAGUUCACAGAUUGAUCAUAAACGUUAUAGCUGUGGUGUAUUAGCUUUAACUUGAAAACUAUAUUGGGUGCUUUAAUUUUCUUUUAAGUUGAAACUUAACUGUCAGAUCAGGCUGGGGAACUUCUAUCAGUAGCAGUGAUUUAAGGCUAGAAGUAGAAAGAUUACAAUUUAAGAGACUACAGCUGGCUUGCUUCUCUGUUCCUAUUUUCAGAGUCCCUAGUUUGAUUUAAUUGAGUACUUAAUGUAUCUUGAAGCUACAUAGUUGAGAAGAUUUUCUUGCUUCAUAAAUGCAGAGUGCGAUUUGUGCAAGAGCUGGCUUUGAGAUAAACGUCAAUUUCCAUGAGUUUAUCUUCUGGGAAUGUUUCAUAUUGUUUCAGUGAACAUGUUAAAUAUAAAACUUACCUGGGAUAUGCCCUUCACCUAUUCUACCUUGUUUGCAAAUUUAGACUUCCUAGAACUCUGACUAAAAAUACCGAAACUCAAGGCCUAAAAUGAGGUGCACCAUUUACUGAUUUUAAAGGGAAGGUAUAUCCCUUGAUUUAUUCACUGUGAAGAACUGUUGAACAUUAAAGUUCAAGAUAAUAAUGAAAUGCUGCUUACUUGAGACAAUUAAUGCUCUUUCUGCCCCAUUUCACUCUAAAGCCAGCCUUAAACACAAGCCUCACGAGUGAUUGUUUUAUCCAUUUGCUUUUUAGAGAGAAACUUGAAUUGGCCACAGCUUAGUUUGCUGAAGCUCAGUGGCAAAACCAACACCUGAUGCUUUUCAGGUGAAAAAAAAAACAGUUACCUAAAACAUCUUGCCCCUUCCUCAGUCCCAGCCCCUUGGUUUAAUGAUCACCAACUCAUUCUGAAGCGUGAGGUUAAUCUUUCCCCGUUGUGAGUUUUUCUAGUCGUCACUCUGAGAGAAGGCAGUGUGCUGGAAGGAGCCCAGGAGCCCAGGUGGCACUUAGCCCUGGCUCGGUAAUCAGGUUCUUUCGUUGGCUCUUGAGCAAGUUACUUCACCUCUCUGAGUCUCAGUUUCCUCACUGUAGAGUUGAGGAAAUUGGACGAGUUUAGCAGUUCUCUCAACCCUACCAGACUCAGUGUCCCCCCUUUUAUUAUAACAAAUAUUUUAUUCUGGAUAUUCUAAAAUAAAAUUCAAAGUUAAAAGGACUUAUAUGCACAUGUAAUUUUAAACAAUGAAUGUAAUGCCUUGACUGUAAUAUAAAGCAGAAGAAAAGGAAUGCAAUUUUUAAUAAAACAAUGUAUUUCAAUUAAAAAGCUUGGGCAUAAGCAUCAUAGAAGAUAAAAUUAAGUAGUUAGAUGCUUGCACCUAUAUGUAGACUCACCAGCAUCAAUGUGUGAUGUACUGGCAAAAUAAAAUCACAAACAGUGUA